UACGUAGGGGGCAAGCGUUAUCCGGAUUUACUGGGUGUAAAGGGAGCGUAGACGGCAUGGCAAGUCAGAUGUGGAAGCCCGGGGCUCAACCCCGGGACUGCAUUUGAAACUGUCAGGCUGGAGUGCAGGAGAGGUAAGUGGAAUUCCUAGUGUAGCGGUGAAAUGCGUAGAUAUUAGGAGGAACACCAGUGGCGAAGGCGGCUUACUGGACUGUAACUGACGUUGAGGCUCGAAAGCGUGGGGAGCAAACAGG
rnacentral:rRNA from 1 species